CCACUGACGCUCUGCCAGAACACUUGGAGAUAAAUAUGGAGGCUUUUCAAGUUGUACCUGUCUUUGAGAAACCACACAAUCAUAAACCCACAUAGAAGAAGGAAAAGAUGGGGAUGCAGAUUUAGAAGAGGAAGAGGAACACAAAGAAGAGUAAGCGACGUGUCCAUCUUCACACAAUGCCAGAACUGAUGGGAGGAAAAGAGUUAGUGUAGAAAUAGGAGCCUGUGAGAAGAUUGAAAGGUGGGGUCCAAGCCAAGGGAAAAGAGAUUACAUCACAAAAGCAAUGAUGGUGCAGCAAGACCCAUGAAUACAUUACACCAUCAUA